rnacentral:lncRNA from 1 species
GUGCUGUUAUUCAUAUUUCGCGUUAGAUGAAACUGAAAUAAAAAUCUGUUUUAACAUAAUGUGGGGUUUAAAAACAUGCAACAGAUAGUUUGAAAAACAAUUAUUCAAAGGUGAUUUUUUUUAAAUUUAUAUUUUACAAAUGAAAACACAACUUUAUAAGUUCAUGCGUAUGAAGCGGCCUUUCUGGAUUUACCUUCAUCAGUAACGCUCAAAGCCGAGAAUUGAUGAGCGAAUUGAGAAACGGACAAUUAAUGAAAAGUUUGUUAAAAAUCAUGUCAGUAUCGAAUUACUGACUCCGUAGUAUAUUGGACAUUUCAAAAC